GUGCACGCUUCAGCAGCACAUCCUCUAAAAUUGGAACAUAGAGAGAAGACUAGCAUGGCCCCUGCACAAGGAUGAGAUGCAAAUUCGUGAAGCAUUUCAUAUUUUU